rnacentral:rRNA from 1 species
CGUGUAGGCGGUUGGCUCAGUCUGGUGUGAAAGCCCGGGGCUUAACCCCGGAACUGCAUCGGAUACUGGUCAGCUAGAGGACGGGAGAGGGAGGCGGAAUUCCUGGUGUAGGGGUGAAAUCCGUAGAUAUCAGGAGGAACGUCGGAGGCGAAGGCGGCUUCCUGGCCCGUUCCUGACGCUGAGACGCGAAAGCGUGGGUAGCAAACA